ACUCGGCCACGAGUCCGAAAUAGGACGAAACGCGCGUCCUGGAU
rnacentral:hammerhead_ribozyme from 1 species